rfam:Clostridiales bacterium CHKCI006 isolate CHKC6 genome assembly, contig: {contig21}
AUAAUGGUACUUCCGUCCAGUCACAGGCCGAGCGUUGAAGCGGCUUUUUCUUGUUCUGCCGUGAGCCGUCGCAGCCAAUGAGGGCGGCCCCGUGAGAUCCACGGGGAGGUGAGAUUCCUAUGA